CCUUAAAUGACUUCAGAAACACAGUCUCUUGGGUUUUGCAUACCUAGAAGGCUUUAGGGAUUAGAUGAAGGGAAGCAGAAUACAUUUAACAGGACCAUAAUUAUCUCUCUUUCCUUUAUUCCCCCCUCCCCCAUUCCUGUGGGGCUCUGGAAAUGUCAUUGUCCUUAUUUAAUGCAAUGCAGUGAGUGUGGGAUAAAGUCCCACCUGUGCCAUGAAAAUCCCUUAGCAGCUUGCAGCAUUGGAGGAUAGAGGAUGGAAGGAAAGACUAAAAGACGUCUGUGGUAUUGAGACAACAACUGCAACAACAAAACCCAUGAGACGCUUCCAACAAGCACAGAAGGAGCAGCAAGGGGAGAAGGCUUUAGGAGGGGGUCUGUGUCGUGCCAGCAAAGACUGCCCCUGUGCCAUGACAGCUCCAUCAGGAAGCCUCCUCUCUUCUCAUCUGCUGCUCCCAAUCUUUCUCCUGAGCACCAGAAAUUACCUUGAGAAGAAGCCUGAAAACCAUGUGAAGAAGGACAUAUUUGCUUCCCUUGCUGCCAUGAUUGUAAGUUUCCUGAGGCCAGCCAUGCAGAACUGAACUGGAAAUGAAAUCCUUCGAAGAAAAAACAGAGGGUUGGGAAAUGGUAAAAGACCUUUUUGAUCUCAUCCAUCUUGAGGGAUGCGGCCUAAAGCACAUACAGUCCUCCAAAGAAAAAGUAAUGCCGUGUUACAAAACAGGUUUCCUAUUUUGAUGCACCUGGACAUACCGAGGACUAAACUGUCCUUAGAAGGGAUGUGCACAUUCACAUCAAGACACAAGACAACACCAUCAGACUUCUGGAAAUUAUUUAAAACUUAAGUUUUGGUUAUGGAUUACUGUUGGAGCCACAUCUCUGAAGGACAAUAAUAAAUGGAUUCCAGACACAUGGACAGACCCAGAAGACUCCAAAGCAGGGGCAAUAUUGCCUGUUUCUAGCAAACCCAUAAAAAUGAAACAAUUGGGCACCAAUUGUUUUAGAAAAGCCCACUCUCUUCAAAUGUGAGAUGAAAAAUGAGAAGAAAAAGGUGUUAAGAAGGACCUAAUUAAGAAUUUUUAUGUUACGUAUUUGAACAACUUGACUCUGAUGCAACAUCAUGAUGUAGGGAAUGGUUCAGAAGUCAUACUCGUGAAGUAGAAAGAAAAGAAAAACAAACAGAAAGUUGCACCAGAAUUAGUGUGGCACUGGUUUAUUUCCUACCUGAUUGUAAAGGAAAAAUUGAGAUAUGCUAAUUUAUCAUGCAGCCGCAUAACUUCAUAAUGCAAAAUUUAUGAGAAGAGAUGAGAGGAAAUUGGAGAGGAACAUUAUGGGAGCAAUAAAUACUUAUAUAUACUUAUAUAUAAUACUUAUAUAUAAUUGCAAAUAUUAUAAUGCUGUUGCAUAUUAGUUGAGACCAUUUAGGUGAUUAUUUAGGCUAAAAGUAUAUAUAUAUAUAUAUAUAUAUAUAUAUAUUUAAUUAAAAUACUAUUUAACUGAGCCUCUUGUAGGGGUUAAGUACCCUUCUAGGUAUUG
rnacentral:lncRNA from 10 species